rnacentral:rRNA from 1 species
UACGAAGGGGGCUAGCGUUGCUCGGAAUCACUGGGCGUAAAGGGCGCGUAGGCGGCCGAUCAAGUCAGAGGUGAAAGCCCAAGGCUCAACCUUGGAAUUGCCUUUGAUACUGUUCGGCUAGAGACCGGAAGAGGUUAGUGGAACUGCGAGUGUAGAGGUGAAAUUCGUAGAUAUUCGCAAGAACACCAGUGGCGAAGGCGACUUACUGGACACAUAUUGACGCUGAGGUGCGAAAGCGUGGGGAGCAAACAGG